CAUGAACCUGUUGUGAACUGCCCAUCUGAGGGAUCUAGGUUGUGUGCUUCGUAUGAGAAUCUAAUGCCUGAUGAUCUGUCACUGUCUCACUUUGCCCCCAGAUGAGACCAUCCAGUUGCAGAAAAAUUAGUUCAGAGCUUCCACGGAUUCUACAUUAUGGAUAUGUGCCGCCGAAGCAAGCACAAAGCCCUACUUUUACACAUGAUUAGUGAUGCGUCAUGGACAAGGCUUGGCUCUGUUAAGUCCAACUAACCUACUUGAGAUUCUGAGAAUUCUCUUCAAUGGCUUCCUGUGAGCUAGAGUUUGAAAAUAUUUUAAAAUCUUGAGCUAGAGAUGGAAGUAGCUGGGACAAUUUUCAUUAUCAUGUAAAUCAGAUCACUCAAGGGGCCAACCACAGCUGGGAGCCACUGCUCAGGGGAAGGUUCAUAUGGGACUUUCUACUGCCCAAGGUUCUAUACAGGAUAUAAAGGUGCCUCACAGUACAGAUCUGGUAGCAAAGAAGAAGAAACAAACACUGAUCUCUUUCUGCCACAUUAUUUGAACCCCUCUCACCCUUUAGAACAAGCCCACCUAAUAUCUGCUAGAGAAAAGACCAACAACAGCCUCAAAGGAUCUCUUACCAUGAAGGUCUCAGCUAAUUCCUGGCUAAGAUGUGGGUUCCACAUUAGGUUCUGAAUAUGUGGGGAAGGGUCAAUUUGGUCACUUUGUGUGCGGAUAAAGUCAAGAUGCCCAGCGGCCAGAGCAGGGGGCUGGUGCUCUGGGAACAAUGGCUGAGCAUAUAAGCAUAGGUAUGGGAAUUAAAAAACAUCAAAGUCACUGUAUGAAUCGCCAUGAAGACUUGAGGGAUCUGAAUCUACUGAUUCAUCUUAAGGCAGCAGGACCAGUUUGAGUGGCCACAAAGCAGCAACAGAAUCAACGGAAACAACAGAAUGAUUGCAAUGUCUUUUUUCCUCCUCCUUCUGACUUGAUAAAAGGGACUGUCUUCCUUGGAUUUAGUAAACCCCUUCGGUUCUUGAAAAAUUCAAGGAGUAUGUAGGACAUAGUGCCCAGAAGACAGUACAAGACUUUCCGCUAAACUGGACAUUUCAAGACCCAAAUAACUAAUCAGAAAAAUUAAAGAUGUGACACUAUUUUUUAUCCCAUGCAUAGGUGUUACACUUGGAUCAAAUGAACAAUGCUGGGAUCUCUAAGGAUAAAGAUCUUAAAAGUCCUGAGAUAAAGAAUCCCGCACCCAUUGGUACUUCUAACUUGUCUUGCUUUUUGUCUGAUUUCUGGCUGAUGCAGGGGACUAACUCACUGCCACGCGAAAACUACCUGAACCAAACUAUGACAUCUCACCUGAUAUGUAAGAUGCAACUGUUAUAAUUAUUUUAAACCUCAAUUCAGCAUUAACUAG
rnacentral:lncRNA from 10 species